GGUUAGCGAAGGAUAGGAUCUUAAAAUCAUUAAACUUCACUGAUUAUGAGAUUUGUAUUGACUAUAUAAAAGCAAAGUAGACAUACACAUUAAAAAAAGAUGUCAAAAAGAGCGAAAAAACUUUAAAAAUCGUUCACAUUGAUGUAUGUGGAUCAUUUUUUUCCAUGUCUAAUAGGUGAAAAAUAUUUCAUUACAUUUAGUUGACCUAUCUGAAGGGGGGCGGUUAAUAGCUUGCAAAUAGAUCUAUAAAACCAAAAGAAAUCCCAAUGAUAAGAUUGAAUGAUAUAAAGCUAGACUUAUGGCA
rnacentral:lncRNA from 1 species